AUGCCUGUGGCAUCCCCUGCAGCAGGACUGGGAGGUUUUUGUACAGCUCUGCUGUGAGGCUCUGUCACUGUGCUCUCUGCAGGGCGCAGAGAUACACCGCUGUGUCCGCCAGCUCCAGGGCUUUGAUGUUCAGAACUGUGGAGGUGUCGUUCGCCUGCGAAGAAAACCUCUCCUGGGCGAAACCUGCAGUAUCACUGAACGUGCUUCCUUUUGCUCCUCUCAGGAGGAUGAACUGCGGGGCUCGGUUCGGGUACUGGCGGUACCAGUAGAGAAAGACACCGGCAGUGUAGCUGGUAUCGUAAGAACAGCUGAGGGUCACGGUAUCGCCUUGUGAUCUGGACACCUCGGGUUCAUUGGACCGGAUCGAGUCACCCAGCACCGCACCUGCAACAAGACACUCACGUUCAAGGACAGCCAGACAGCUGGAGCCAGACAAGCUGAGUGGUCGCUGGGAGAAGAAUUUAAAGGCAACUUCUCGGAAAGACUGGGAGAGGUUAGUGCGAGACCGGCCUAGCAGAAGAAGGAGGGGUUCGGGAAAUGCGUAACAGACACAGGAAACGGACUGGGUUCUGCAACUGAAGCGCAGGUUUUGUCUCCGAGUCAAGAGAAAACUGAGCACUGGAUUUUGUAAAAGCCCCUCUAUUAACCCACCCGCCGUGGUAAUCUAAGGCCCUCUCAGAAACACAUCGACUAAUUUGUCAGUUCUAACACCGCAAUUCUCAGACCCACGUAUUUUUCGACUCGCCUGAAAUCCCGUAACAACCGACUCCCAGCUCCGUUGUGUUCGGUUCCAGCAGACCUUGGGAAGAGGUACUUCGUCUGCCCGCUGCUGUCCUGUUUAUACCAGUAUAUGUCAUAACCUGCAUCUUCAGUCGAGAAAGUACAGCCCGGUGUGACAGAGUCACUUUGUACCCCGGUCAGCUGUCCUUGUCUCUGGGUGACACUGUUCUUCUCGGUACUUGAUCCUGCAAAAAACAGUAGAUGCAAAUUCACUAUAAAAUUAGCACAGUUGCGUCUGCUGUCAACUGAGAAUCUCAAAGGGUUUUCCAAUAGAUGUGAUCUAUCUGUCUAUCUAUCUAUCCUUCCCCGUUCUGGAAUAUAUAAUUAUUUGUCUAUCUCUGUAUUUUUUCUCCAUCAUUUUUAGAAAGGCUCAAGCGGAGAUUUUCAAAGCUGCCCAAGAGAUGCAGAUGUUUUAAAAUUAAUGGGAUCUGGCUGUCCAAAUCCGAUAGACAGCUUUGUAAAUCCCAGCCCUAAUACAGAAUGGCAUUUUUUCUUCAUAUUAAACGGCGUGUCUCUUUGUAAAAGGAGGAUAAAUUUCUUCCCUAAA